rnacentral:misc_RNA from 1 species
CACGGAGGGGGCUAGCGUUGUUCGGAAUUACUGGGCGUAAAGGGCACGUAGGCUGGCUGUUAAGUCGGGGGUGAAAUCCUGAGGCUCAACCUCAGAAUUGCCUCCGAUACUGGCGGUCUCGAGUGCGGGAGAGGAUGGUGGAAUUCCCAGUGUAGAGGUGAAAUUCGUAGAUAUUGGGAAGAACACCGGUGGCGAAGGCGGCUCACUGGCUCGGUACUGACGCUGAGGUGCGAAAGCGUGGGGAGCAAACAGG